GCAAGGGUGUAAAUACAGGCGAUCGUACGGCAGAGAUGAAGAUCGGAGCGUUUUGGAGCCGAGCGAAUACAGGCAAGUACUCUUAUUUACGGGCUUCCUAGACCAAUUUUUUAUUUUGUUGUGUGAUUUCGCUGCAAUCGAAAGAUGCUUAAUCAGUGUCUAGGUAUUUUUGCUGCUACGUCGCUAUGCCAUGUUAACCUGCAUAACUUCAUCUUACCGGAAGUAUGGCUCUUGUAUAUUUAAUGGAAGUUUAUGCGAUUGCAAUGUCACUUUCUAUUGCGAACCGACCCAGGGUCGACAUGCAAGGUCAUGCAGCUUUCCAUUACAAGUAGGCAUUGCUGCUGGCGACGCUUCACGUGCUUGGGGUAAUGGGUUUUCAAUGGACGUCCACACUGCAUGUAACUGCGCGGUGAAGAACAUUAAGCCCGGGCUACAUGCGCAGGGGUACACAGGGGUUUCCUAGGCUAUAUGUCACGCACGAUUUCUGAAGAAAUUCCCUUGACCAGCGCCACAUCGGCUUUGGAGCUUUACACGAUUACCGCCCAUUGGGUUUUAUGGGUGGUCAUUUCGACCUGAAACCCCAAGGAGAAAAGGCUGGCAUCGCUCUUUCGCCAGAAGUCAACAACCCUUCUCGUUAGUAGUGAUGAAGCUCCUUGUCUAGCCGAGGAUUGAUAUAAUGACGUCGUGUGCUGGUGGGACCUAACUCCGUCGAACAGUUUAAUUACUUAAUUACGAUUAUGCAUACGCUGACAUCAGCGCAAGACAAUUCCUCAUGCAUAUGCUGACAUCAGCGCAAGACAAUCGCGCAAAACACAGCAACUUCUCCCUCGGCACGUUUCAGUGCAGCGGUAAUAUUUACAUGAAUCUGCGCAUGCAAGCGCAAUCCUAGUUUCAUGAAUUCCCCCACUUGCGCGUGGGAAGGCCAAAAAGACAUUGCAACAAAAAACACAAUGGUUUGGAGAUUUUGACCCUGCGUUACGUUCCUGACGAUUAACCACAGUUAUCGAGCAACGCGCAAGCUUCGCACUCCAGCUCUAAGAAACCAUACAAACAGACGGCUUGAACCCGUCUUUUAAGUUUGAGCACAACCAAAGAGUAAAGACAAAACUCUCCAGCAGCCUUCCCCGGGCCAGCGACACAUCACCUCCCCGCUGAGUCCGCAUCUCAACAUGAACUCCAUUGAACAUCGUCAUACUAGUGCAUGGCUUCCCGCCCGUCAAAUGCCCCACCCACUACAAAUGCGCAAACAGCACACCGCGUGCAUACACUUAUGUGCGCACACACCCCGCUGCAAUUCAGUUACGCAGUGCAUACUAGACGUAGCUUUUUGAACAAUGAACGUGACCCGACUCCAUGGAAAUCCCUGACUUCCCUCUGGAACCAUCACAGUUGUGCCACGGCCUCGGCUGGGUGGCCCUCGCCUGCACCUGGCCCCACAUGCACACCAGUCGCCCCACCUAAGGCGGCAUUCUCGGGCUUCGGAUGAUGCGCGUCCCCGUGCGCGUGUGCCGCCGCAUGCACAUGUGAUGGAUCGCCAACAUGGGCCCCCAGUCCGGACGGGUCAACCACGCCACCCGAGUCACCGCCGACAAUAGACGCCGCGGCCGCCGGCGCCCCUGCCAGCAGCAGACCCAGUUGCUGUUGCAGAUCUUGCGGCGGCAGGUCACUUGGUACCGGCCCCGGUGGCACAACCGCAGUAGCAGACUUGAGGAGGCUGUCGAGGAACGGCGGCGCCAGGUGCUCGUUAUUCAUCGUCUGGAGCGCCAGCAGCGCCGCCUGGUUUGCAUCAGGAGUAGCCAGUCCACUCAGCAGUUGUUGUGGUAGCUGUGGUAGCUGGUUGAGGAGCGCGGUGAGCGC
rnacentral:lncRNA from 1 species